AAAGUCGUAACAAGGUUUCCGUAGGUGAACCUGCGGAAGGAUCAUUAACACUUUUUAUUAUUUUGUUUUUUUUUUCUAAAACAAAAUUUAAAACCCCACAAUUUUGGAUGAAUUUAAUUAAUUUAUUUUUUAUUUUAUUUUUUUUAUUAUAACCCUAUUAUUUGACUAACAUUUUUAUUUAAUUAUUAAAAAUUAAAAAAACAACUCUUAACAACGGAUAUCUUGGCUCUC
rnacentral:misc_RNA from 1 species